rnacentral:rRNA from 1 species
GACGAACGCUGGCGGCGUGCUUAACACAUGCAAGUCGAACGGUAAGGCCCUUCGGGGUACACGAGUGGCGAACGGGUGAGUAACACGUGGGUGAUCUGCCCUGCACUUCGGGAUAAGCCUGGGAAACUGGGUCUAAUACCGGAUAGGACUCCGGACUGCAUGGUCUGGGGUGGAAAGGUUUUGCGGUGUGGGAUGGGCCCGCGGCCUAUCAGCUUGUUGGUGGGGUGAUGGCCUACCAAGGCGACGACGGGUAGCCGGCCUGAGAGGGUGACCGGCCACACUGGGACUGAGAUACGGCCCAGACUCCUACGUGAGGCAGCAGUGGGGAAUAUUGCACAAUGGGCGCAAGCCUGAUGCAGCGACGCCGCGUGAGGGAUGACGGCCUUCGGGUUGUAAACCUCUUUCAGCAUCGACGAAGCGAAAGUGACGGUAGGUGCAGAAGAAGGACCGGCCAACUACGUGCCAGCCGCCGCGGUAA